rnacentral:rRNA from 1 species
AUGCCCUUCGGGGCUCCUUGGUGAAUCAUAAUAACUUANCGAAUCGCAUGGCCUUGCGCCGGCGAUGGUUCAUUCAAAUUUCUGCCCUAUCAACUUUCGAUGGUAAGAUAGAGGCUUACCAUGGUCUUAACGGGUAACGGGGAAUUAGGGUUCUAUUCCGGAGAGGGAGCCUGAGAAACGGCUACCACAUCCAAGGAAGGCAGCAGGCGCGCAAAUUACCCAAUCCCGACACGGGGAGGUAGUGACAAUAAAUACUGAUACGGGGCUCUUUUGGGUCUCGUAAUUGGAAUGAGUACAAUCUAAAUCCCUUAACGAGGAACAAUUGGAGGGCAAGUCUGGUGCCAGCAGCCGCGGUAAUUCCAGCUCCAAUAGCGUAUAUUAAAGUUGUUGCCGUUAAAAAGCUCGUANUUGAACCUUGGGCCUGGCUGACCUGUCCUCCUAAUCGAGCGCACGGGUUCGGUCGGGCCUUUCCUUCUAGGGAACCCCAUGCCCUUCACUGGGUGUGGUGGGGAACUAGGACUUUUACCUUGAAAAAAUUAGAGUGUUCAAAGCAGGCCUUUGCUCGAAUACAUUAGCAUGGAAUAAUAGAAUAGGACAUCGGUUCUAUUUUGUUGGUUUCUAGGACCGCCGU